rnacentral:lncRNA from 1 species
GAGAAGGGUAUUCCUGCACAACUGGAGUGGCUGCACUCUCAGGACCGCAUUUUUAGGACCGCAUCUUUAGGACCCUAGUUUUUUGUGACAGCGUCACCUGUCGGAUUGGAUUAUGGAUGCGCUAAUGGACGACACUGAUGACAAGGAAAGUGCCAUCGUACAUCCUCUGGGUGUCUUGAGGAGCUGGUCUUUGGAUAAUGCUGAGCAGGUCUUUCUUUCUGGUAAAGAUUAUCAUUACAGUGAAGUAAAAUAAUUUAACAGACAGAUUUACAAACAACUGACGAAAGAAGGGAGACCAUUCAAUAGUCCCUUUAUUUAUCAGGGGUUGCCACAGCAGAAGGAACUGCCAACUUAUCCAGCAUAUGUUUUACACAGCGGAUGCCCUUCCAGCUGCAACCCAGUACUGGGAAACACCCAUUUACACUCAUACACUUGAACAUGGGGAGAACAUGCAAACUCCACACAGAAAUGACCACUGGCCCAGGCGGGGCUUGAACCAGCAACCUUCUUGCUGUGAAGCGACGGUGCUAACCACUGUGCUGCCCUAUGUGCUCUAUGCGGAGGCCUCUAGAGAUCGUAACCUGUGAAGAGAUGAUGCCA